rnacentral:lncRNA from 1 species
CACACACGUACGCUCGUCACCGCUGCCAACAGCGUUAACGACAGACAAGGAAAACGAGAAUGAACUCCCCAGAGCUCUGUGGCGUGUCCGCCAAACAUGAACUUCUUCAAGCACAUGAGCAUAUGAUUCCGACCCCUUGGCGAGGGGUGGAGGGCACGGGAGACUGCGAACAGAUGGGCUCUGCAAUCGCCGGAAAGGAGGGUGUCAAAUCGUCCCGAAAGACAGAAAAAAAAAAAAAAAAACGUUCCGCCUGAAGCGUCACGGGGCUAAUCCAGCGCUUUAACUGGACCCAGCCAUGGAGGUGCCGCGACGCCAACUGCGACGACGUCGAAGGCGUUUAAGCAGGCGUGCCGCUGGAGCUCAUGCACCUUUAUCCGCGCCACCCUCUUUUAAACCGGUGCGAUUCGUGUGAGCGCGUCUCAUUUUAUCCGUGCGCCUGCGCUGAACCUCGAAUGGCAGCUCCCUUUCUCUCGGCUCGUCACUUAUUCAAACGACCCCACACAGCUCCCUUCAUUCUUUCUAUCUCUUAAUAACAACACGCCGAGUUGUUACAGAGGUGAAAGGCAAAUUAAACAGAGCGAGGGC